UAGGGAAUCUUCGGCAAUGGACGAAAGUCUGACCGAGCAACGCCGCGUGAGUGAAGAAGGUUUUCGGAUCGUAAAACUCUGUUGUUAGAGAAGAACAAGGACGUUAGUAACUGAACGUCCCCUGACGGUAUCUAACCAGAAAGCCACGGCUAACUACGUGCCAGCAGCCGCGGUAAUACGUAGGUGGCAAGCGUUGUCCGGAGUUAUUGGGCGUAAAGCGAGCGCAGGCGGUUUCUUAAGUCUGAUGUGAAAGCCCCCGGCUCAACCGGGGAGGGUCAUUGGAAACUGGGAGACUUGAGUGCAGAAGAGGAGAGUGGAAUUCCAUGUGUAGCGGUGAAAAGCGUAGAUAUAUGGUGGAACACCAGUGGCGAAGGCGUCUCUCUGGUCUGUAACUGACGCUGAGGCUCGAAAGCGUGGGGAGCAAACAGG
rnacentral:rRNA from 1 species